UACGUAGGGGGCAAGCGUUGUCCGGAUUCAUUGGGCGUAAAGAGCUCGUAGGCGGUUUGUCGCGUCUGCUGUGAAAACUGGAGGCUCAACCUCCAGCCUGCAGUGGGUACGGGCAGACUAGAGUGCGGUAGGGGAGAUUGGAAUUCCUGGUGUAGCGGUGGAAUGCGCAGAUAUCAGGAGGAACACCGAUGGCGAAGGCAGAUCUCUGGGCCGUAACUGACGCUGAGGAGCGAAAGCGUGGGGAGCGAACAGG
rnacentral:rRNA from 1 species